GGGGAUGAUUGUUUCGACAAGUGCUCUUUAUAAAAUAUGCAAAUCCAGUAUUCUGAAAUCUGGUAAAACUUUCAGGAAAAACAUAAUUGCUAAUUUAUUUAAUAAGCAACCCGCGUUAGCUUUCGCUUAAUGCGGCAUCCUUGCCAUUUACUCCUGAUAGAUGGGUCAAGGGUGUUAUUUAUCGGGAUAGGUAAUUUUUUCUCCCCGAAAAAUUAUUGAAAGCAACCGGGGAUAAGAUAUUAAAGAUUUUUCUUACUUUUUAUUUAAUAUCCCAAAAACCAAAGUAGGAUAAAUUUGUAGAAGUAUUUUAACGAGGUAUUUGGACGCGAUUUCAAUAUCGCCAUCUCCACAA
rnacentral:tmRNA from 5 species